rnacentral:rRNA from 1 species
AGUAACACGUGGGCAACCUGCCUGUAAGUUGGGGAUAACUCCGGGAAACCGGGGCUAAUACCGAAUGAUAAGAUGUGGCGCAUGCCACGCCUUUGAAAGAUGGUUUCGGCUAUCGCUUACAGAUGGGCCCGCGGUGCAUUAGCUAGUUGGUAGGGUAAUGGCCUACCAAGGCAACGAUGCAUAGCCGACCUGAGAGGGUGAUCGGCCACACUGGGACUGAGACACGGCCCAGACUCCUACGGGAGGCAGCAGUAGGGAAUCUUCCGCAAUGGACGAAAGUCUGACGGAGCAACGCCGCGUGUAUGAAGAAGGUUUUCGGAUCGUAAAGUACUGUUGUUAGAGAAGAACAAGGAUAAGAGUAACUGCUUGUCCCUUGACGGUAUCUAACCAGAAAGCCACGGCUAACUACGUGCCAGCAGCCGCGGUAAUACGUAGGUGGCAAGCGUUGUCCGGAUUUAUUGGGCGUAAAGCGCGCGCAGGCGGUCUUUUAAGUCUGAUGUGAAA